rnacentral:tRNA from 1 species
GGCCAGUUAGCUCAGUCGGUAGAGCAGAGGACUGAAAAUCCUCGUGUCGGCGGUUCGAUUCCGUCACUGGCCACCA